CCAUCCAGACUGAGGAAAUGUAGUCACCACAGGACCCAGAAAUUUUGGAGCCAGGUGAGCCACAGCCUCUGCCGCAUCAGCAAGCACUGAAAGCACCCAGGUGGCCGUGGCAAUGCUGGCGGCAUGCAUCACCACAGGAUCGACUUCAGCAAAUGUCACCCAGGUUACUUUAGGAAAGUUGGUAUGAGGCAUUACCACCUAAAGAGGAACCUGAGCUUCUACCCAGCUGUCAACCUUGACAAAUUGUGGGCUUUGGUCAGGAAGCAGACACAGGUGAAUGCUGCUAAAAACAAGCCUGGAACAGCUCCCAUCACUGAUGUGGUGCCAUCGGGCUACUAUAGAGUUCUGGGAAGGGAAAAGUUCCCAAACCAGCCUGUCAUCGUGAAGGCCAAAUUCUUCAGCAGAAGAGCUCAGGAGAAGAUUCAGUG
rnacentral:lncRNA from 1 species